UGCCCUCAAGCCCGGCUUGUGUGUUGGGCCCUGUCCCCCUCUCCGGGGGACAGGCCCGAAAGGCAGCGGCGGCACCGAGUCCGGUCCUCGAGCGUAUGGGGCUUUGUCACCCGCUCUGUAGGCCCGGCCGGCGCCAGCCGACAACCCAUCAUCCUUUUCAGGUUGACCUCGGAUCAGGUAGGGAUACCCGCUGAACUUAA
rnacentral:misc_RNA from 1 species